rnacentral:rRNA from 1 species
UACGAAGGGUGCAAGCGUUAAUCGGAAUUACUGGGCGUAAAGGGUGCGUAGGCGGUUGUUUAAGUCUGUCGUGAAAUCCCCGGGCUCAACCUGGGAAUGGCGAUGGAAACUGGGCAGCUAGAGUGUGUCAGAGGAUGGUGGAAUUCCCGGUGUAGCGGUGAAAUGCGUAGAGAUCGGGGGGAACAUCAGUGGCGAAGGCGGCCAUCUGGGACAACACUGACGCUGAAGCACGAAAGCGUGGGGAGCAAACAGG